rnacentral:rRNA from 1 species
UAUAAAUCAAAUUAGUAUAGACACAGAUUAGGUCCGGGAUGGUUAGGAACUCCUUUUGGGUAGGAGAAUAGUUCAGUUCAAAUCUGAAUAAUCUGAAAUAAAGUAAUAUGAAUGUAAAUUUAUGUAACCUGAGACUAUAAAUAGGAAAUUUAUAUAAAAAUUUAAAUAAUAAAAAGAAAAAAAAUCUUAUGUUUUUAAAGGAAUAUAUAAUACCUAGAUUUAAUAGAAAUGUAACGGAUAUAGAAUAUAUAUAUAUAUAUAUUUAUAUAUAAGUAUAUAAAGAAAUUAUUAAGGAUAUCUAAGCUAUGUAUUAAAGAGUAAUUAAAUUUAUUUAUUUUAAUUUAAUCAUAAAUAUAUACUCUAAGAGAAAUCAAAUAAUUAACGAAGUGAAUUGAAAUAUCUUAGUAACUUUAGGAAAAGAAAUCAAAAGAGAUUCUAUUAUUAGCGUGAGUGAAAAUAGAACAGCCUAUAAUUUAAUAAGUAAAAUGGUCAAAAAACUGUUUGAAUUUAAUGGGGAACCUUCCUCAAAGGCUAAAUAUAAUACAUAAGCAAUAGUGAACAGAGUACCGUGAGGGAAUUUGAUUUGAAAUAGUAAUUUUAUAAGCAGUUCAAGCUAAAUUAGUAAGUAAGAACGUACCUUUUGCAUAAUGGGUCACCUAGUUAACAUUAGAUGCGAGUAUAAGCGUAGAUAAACCAAUCAUUAAAAUAAUGAAAAGUGUCUAAAGUUAGACCCGAAGCCUGGUGAUUUUACCAUGAUCAGGAUUAUAAAAGUCCGAACGGUAUAUCGUAGCAAAGAUAUCCGAAGAAUCGUGGUAGGUAAGUGAAAGACAACACUGACUAGGAUAGCUGGUUUUCUGCGAAACCUAUAACAGUAGGCAAUCUGAGUAACAUCUUAGCAGGUACAGAAUUUAAUCUCAGGCAAGAUAUAAAAAUUUUAAAGUUAUUUUUUAAGUAAUUAUAAAACUAUAUUUUUAUUUUGUGCAUAUCGGGGGAUCGUGAUGAUUUUAUCGGUGAGUAUGUAGACUCGGAAUGGCAAAGAUGGAUCUUGGAUUAUCGGACAUAGAAUGAUAAGGUUGUAUGUCAAAAGGGAAACAGCCCAGAACAAGAGUUAAGGUUCCAAAAUUAUUAGUUAAGUGAAAUUAAGAAGGUUUUUAUUAAAGUCGACAAGGAGAUGGGCUUAGAAGCAGUCAUAAUUUGAAGAUCUCGUAGCAGAGCGCUUGUUAAGGUUUAAAAGCAUCAAAAAUUUAACGGAUCUAAACUAUAUACCGACACCUUGUCCAUAUUUUACUAUAUAUAAAUAUAUUAUCGUAAUUUUAUGGGGUAGCAGAACAUUGAAUUAAAUUAAGAUAUUUCUUUUUUAAAGAAAUAUAUAACAAAGAAUUCAAGUGAGAAUGGUGACAUGAGUAACGAAUAAGAAGGAAAUAAAAAUCCUCCGCCUAAAGCUUAUGGCUCUAAUUAAGUAACGGCCUCUAAGUUUAAAAUCUAAAGGUUUGAACGAUGAGUAAAUCUUUUUUUACUAAUUGACAACAUUUCUAAGUGAAGAAUGUGCUGGAAAAAAAGUAAAUAAUAUUAUAUGAAACACAAUAAACUCAAUAGAUGAGUGGAGUAAAAAAAUAUGAGAAAAUAACCGUACCUAGAAACUGAAACAAGUAAGUUAGUAGAGAAUACGAAGGCGUAAAUGAGAUAACAAUCAUAAAGGAACUCGGCAAAUUGACUACCGUAACUUCGGGAUAAGGAGAGCUCAUUAAUCUUGAUUAAUAUCAAGUAAAAAGGAAGAAGCAUAAAAUAAUGUUGUACGACUGUUUAAUUAAAACACAGCACUUCGCUAAAAGAUGAAAAAUCUAAGUAUUGAGUGUGAUGUCUGCCCGAUCCCGGCUGGUUAACAGAGAAAUCAAAUUGGGUAAAAAAAUUUGGUUUUGACGGAACCCCCGGUUAAUGGCGGCCUUAACGUGAGGGUCCUAAGGUAGCGAAAUGCCUUGGCCGUUAAAUGCGGUCUUGCAUGAAUGAUGUAACGAUACAACAGCUGUCUCUAUGAUUGACUCAGUGAAAUUGGAAUAGCUGUGCAGAUACAGUUUACCUCUAGUUAGACGAGAAGACCCUAUGCAGCUUUACUGUUACUAAUUAUAAAGUAUGGCUAAAAAGAUUUUAGAUUAUAAGGUAUAUUGAUAAAAUAAAAAUGAAAAUCCUUUAUUAUUUUACCAUAUUUCAGAAUUUAUCCUUAUUUCUUUUGAAGUAAGAGUUAACCUAGUUUAACUUAUUUAAUAUAAGUAGCCUUAGGGAAGGAACUAUUGUUAGGAGACAGUUUAUGUGGGGCACAGACCCCAUAAAGAGUAAAUGGGUGUGUCUAAAAAUUAGAUGUUAUGAGGAUUGAAUUAUAAUUAUGUUUAAUUACAUGUUGUAAGGAUUGAAUUAUAUAGAUGUUUGUGAUUUUAUGUAGUUUUACUUUAUUUUAUCUUAUACAAUUGUGCAUACCCACCGUAAUUUUUUUAUUAUCGCGUGGGUUAUGUAUCGAAGUUAGGUAAGAUUUUAUCUAAAAAGAAAUUAGAAGUAGAGAGAAAAUAUUAUGAAUUUUUUUUCUAAUAUUUUUAUAUUUAUUACAUCGUAAUAAUUAUGUAUAAUACUUAAAAAGCUCAACGGCUAAAUCUUGCCUUACUGUUUGAUUAACAACAAAUCUUACAGUUGCGUAAGCAGGGCAUAGGAUCACAAGAUGCAAAAAGGAAAGAUCUUGGAUUAUUGGAAAAGCUACGCUAGGGAUGUUUGUCCUUCAAUAAUUUUUAAUUAUUGAUAACAUAUUGGGUUAAUUUCAAGAAUUACUUAU